AACGAACGCUGGCGGCGUGCUUAACACAUGCAAGUCGAACGAGAAAGUUUCCUUCGGGAAGCUAGUAAAGUGGCGCAAGGGUGAGUAACACGUGAAUAAUCUGCCCUCGAGAUCGGGAUAACCCUGGCGAAAGCUAAGCUAAUACCGGAUAAGACCACUAUUUUCAUAAGAAAUGAGGUAAAAGGAGUCUCAACCUUCACUCGAGGAUGAGUUCGCGGACCAUUAGCUUGUUGGUGAGAUAAAAGCUCACCAAGGCUACGAUGGUUAGCCGGCCUGAGAGGGUGAUCGGCCACACUGGAACUGAGACACGGGUCCAGACUCCUACGGGAGGCAGCAGUGGGGAAUAUUGCGCAAUGGGCGAAAGCCUGACGCAGCAACGCCGUGUGAGCGAUG
rnacentral:rRNA from 1 species